rnacentral:tRNA from 1 species
CCAAUGGAUAAGGCGCCUGCCUACGGAGCAGGAGAUUCACGGUUCGAGUCCGUGCA